UACGGAGGGGGCUAGCGUUGUUCGGAAUUACUGGGCGUAAAGCGCACGUAGGCGGCUUUGUAAGUUAGAGGUGAAAGCCUGGGGCUCAACUCCAGAAUUGCCUUUAAGACUGCAUCGCUUGAAUCGCGGAGAGGUGAGUGGAAUUCCGAGUGUAGAGGUGAAAUUCGUAGAUAUUCGUCAAGAACACCAGUGGCGAAGGCGGCUUACUGGUCCGGAU
rnacentral:rRNA from 1 species